UGACCCAGUGUGCAAGGAGACACCUAUUUGGAGGUGGUGUUCUUAUAAUAGUCAGGGGCAAAGCAGAUGUAUAGUCCUUAGUUCCUCCUAGCUUGUUGCCUGUCUUGGUGGCCAGAGCUGUUUCAUGUUUGGGGCACUGAA
rfam:Myotis lucifugus cont2.52194, whole genome shotgun sequence.